AUUGAACGCUGGCGGCAGGCCUAACACAUGCAAGUCGAGCGGGGUUUUCGGACCUAGCGGCGGACGGGUGAGUAAUGCGUAGGAAGCUGCCCGAUAGAGGGGGAUACCAGUUGGAAACGACUGUUAAUACCGCAUAAUGUCUACGGACCAAAGGGUGGGACCUCCGGGCCACAUGCUAUCGGAUGCGCCUACGUGGGAUUAGCUAGUUGGUGAGGUAAUGGCUCACCAAGGCGACGAUCUCUAGCUGGUUUGAGAGGAUGAUCAGCCACACUGGAACUGAGACACGGUCCAGACUCCUACGGGAGGCAGCAGUGGGGAAUAUUGGACAAUGGGCGCAAGCCUGAUCCAGCCAUGCCGCGUGUGUGAAGAAGGCCUUCGGGUUGUAAAGCACUUUCAGCGAGGAGGAAGGGUGGUGUGUUAAUAGCACAUCAUUUUGACGUUACUCGCAGAAGAAGCACCGGCUAACUCUGUGCCAGCCGCCGCGGUAAGAC
rnacentral:rRNA from 1 species